UUCAUCAUAGAUAAGAUAAGGAUGAAACAAAAUUAGGCGCUUGCCGACCAUGUCUCAUUUAAUGAGUCAAGGAAUGUUUAUAAAUAGUCUUCUUCUCAACCAUUAUCACAUCAAUUUCUGCUCCUCUUUGCUAAUUUGAAGGUUAGAGAAAAGAUUGAACCUAAAAUGGGCGGAAAAAGGCAAAUGGAACCCAAAGUUGGUAAAAAGGAGCAUAGGGUUAAGAAAAGAAAGCUUGAUCUGAAAGAGGAAAUGGAGAAAAUAAAGUUAUGGUCAAGAGUGUUAGCCAAGAUGACCGCAGUGCAAAGGCAGCUGGUAGAAGUCGUGAUCUCAAAUUCAAACAUGGAAGACCUGCAUCUCAAAUGUGAACAACUCGGGGGAGUCAACAAUGAGGCGGCACUACUGAAUUCUAUGAUCCAAAACUACAUUCACGUCAUGCUUGGUGUGUUUGGUGGUUGAUGGAGUGUCAAAUACGAUUAUAGUUAUAUGUAGGCGUCCAAGAUGAAUAUAUUUAGUUUUUCAAUAUGUAUAAGAAGCAAAUUAGGUCAUUCAUAAGAGGAAGCACUCGAACUCUUGGAUGGGUGCUUGUCUUGUACGAUGUGUAACGCUUUGUUUAAUAUUAAAUCACUAAAUUCAUGGUGUGUUUAAAUA